GCGAAUAGUGGUGUCACAUACUCAAUCCAAUCCUCAGACUGAUCCACAAGAGUUACAGGAUCUUGGAGAAAAAAAAAAAAGAAGCCUUGGUUACAUUUACUUUUAUAGAGUGACAGAAUGGGGGAAAAGUGAUGUGGGGAAGAAAAGGACUCAUCAACAAACUUUAAAAUUUCAACUCAAUAAAAACACCUAACUGGAGUUGAAUGAUUCUCAAGUCAUUUACAAGAAAAGAACUUUGAUCCUCCCAUAAACAAAUUUACACAAAUGUUAUUUCACACUGGGGAAAAAAUAAAAUUGCCAAAAUCUUAACUAUACUAAUCUUAACUAUAUAUAGAUAUAAGCCAAGCCAAUAAUGUUCAGAGUCCUGGUUUGGAUCUUGAAUUCUGGACAAAUUUAACCACCGAUCUAGUCACAGGUGUGGCCAUGAUGUGGUUGCUGAGAGUUCAAAAAUCUUGAAGUUUGCAGCUGAAAUUGGUAAACUUUGUUUUAGAGCUUGAGGGAUAAAUCAAGGUGCUUCAUUUCUUCUUGAUUAUUGCUCUUCAAACGAGUUUCAGCACCGGCCACACAUCCACCGAUUUCCUUAUUGGCUGAAGAAUUCAUCAGGGUGUUAGCCAUUUCAAACCUACCAACACUUGUUUGUGAUGAUGAAAAUGCUGAUUUUGUUCUGUGAAAAUCAGCCACCGGUAGUUUUGCUAUUCCAGGUUGUUGGUCAAUGACGGGUCUUGACCAACCAUGGUGGUGUGCAUAAGAGUUUCCAAAUCCAGUCACAUGAUGAUGAUGAUGAUGAUGAUGGUGAUGAGAGGGCUUUUGGAUCAUGGAGUGUGCUUGAAUUCCAAGAGGUCCUCCUCUACUAUUGGUAGCACCAUAAAGGGGUAGGGAAGCCAUGCUUGCAUAGUGGGUGUUAUUAUGCAGUAAGGGAAGGCCAAAGGCCAUUAUCUGUGAUCCAAACCUGUGCCCUCUCUUUGCUAUUGACCUCUCCCUCUUGUGUGCAUUUUGGUGCCCACCAAGUGCUUGUGAACUGUAGAACUUUCUGUGGCAGUAGUUGCAAGAGAAGACUCUUGGCUCAGCAGCAUCAGAAGCAAGAGGGACUUCUGAAGAAGAAUUGCCACUAAUGGAUGAUGACCCCACAUCCAAACAGGUUAUGAGAUUCAGUUCUAGUGCUUCUGCACUGCAAGAAUCAUCACCUGAAACAUUUAGAUCCAAUACAGCACCAUGCUUUGACUCCUUAUUUUCUUCCUCUUCUUCCUCAACAGAUACCUGUUUCUUCUCAUGUGGAUGCUGAAGCGGAGUGCUUGGACUAGGAGGUGCCUCUGCAGCACAAGAGAAGAUGCUUCCUCUGUCACAAAAGUAUGCCUCCUUCUUGCUUCUUCCUUCCAUUGCAGUUUCCAGAGUCCACAUUUGAAAGCUCUCCCACAAAACAAAAUCACAAAGUUUCAAUCCAUCCAUAAAAGUAAUAUCUUUCGG
rnacentral:sRNA from 1 species